AUCUACAUUGUAAGGCACAUAGUAAGCAGUCAAGAAUAUUUGUGGUUCUACUGACUGAAGUGAUCCUAUCUUGUGACUCAUGCAUGGCACGUCUAUAAGUCAAGCUGGAAUCCUCUAAAAUAAGUCACAUGGGAAAAAAUUCUGAUCUUAUUCUAGACGAAGAAUGAAAAGCCAGGAAGCUACAUAACCCAAGGUGCCUUUCUAGGAUUUUAGCACAUGGAAGAAAUGUCCCUACCCAUGCAUACAGAAACGCAUAAGAACAGGAAGUGACGUAUUGUUUAUCAGGAAAAACAGUAUUCAUGUAUUAUUUACAAAAAUUGAGGCUGAUCUCCAAGCUCUACUGUGGAAAGAGUUCAUCAAGUUCCUAGACUGAAGAAAGCUAAUUGGGACCUCAAGAGCAUAACUUAAUCUCAGAGUUGUUCACCUCCGUGCAACGAAGUUGGGCUUUCAAGUAUUCUUUGACUAAGAGCCUGUGCUGGAGAAAGGGGCCACGCUGGGCAGGAAGGAAACCCCUAAGAACUCUGCAGCAGGUGGUAAAGGGAUUCCAGCAGUUGAGGCAGCCUUCCUAAGAGAAAUGCAGGUGCAACAGAAAAACAAAAGCAAACACAAGCCAGGAGAAGGAUGCAGCCAAGGAGAAAAGGGGAUUGGAGGAGAUUUAACAGAGUAUCAACAGGAUCCACUGCAGAAGAGGUAACAAAUUAAAAAAUUAAAAUAUCAUAUCCCAAAAUGGAAAUAAAACAGAUAGAAUGCCGAGUAUAUAUUAAAUAAGGCAAGCUAUUUAUGAUGAGCUAACUCACUUGCAAGUUACCAGAGAGCAUGGAGUAAAUCCUUUAUUUCUCAUGUCCUCAUUGUGCCUAAGACUGCGUUUCUGUACACACAUUAAAAAAACAGGAAAUCAAUGGUUCCCAAUGGUGAUGUGUGAACUCUUCAGGAUCUGGAGGAACAUUAUUAAAUUGCUCCAUUAGCUUUCUCUUGUUUGGGUUGAAAAUAAAAAUUGUGAUGCCAUUUCUACCUAGUUCAUUCUUCCCAAGACUAAACUAAGUCAUGGUUUUCUUACUAAUUAGGCAAUAAUGAGGAUCUUAAAAAUAUUGUAAGAGAAAAAUGUCUUAGCAAUGGAAUAGGCAAUCAGACUAGCAAUCAUGACAGUGCCUGAGGAAGAAAGGAAAGAAAUUUUAAGGCAGAACCAAUGGAUGAAGAGGGCUGGCUAUAAAUCUAUGUCAAUGUGGGAAAAAUUGGCUGAAAAUCAUAUGUGUUUACACGGAUCUUCUUUUGCAUUUUUUUUUUAUUUUUUGGUAAGUGCACUUAACAGGAAAUCCAUCCUCUUGACAAUUUUUUUAAGUUCACAAUACAGCAUUGUCAACUAUAGGCACAAUGUUGUGCAGUGGAUCGCUAGAAUUUAUUCAUCCUGCAUAACUGAAACUACACACCCAUCGAACUGCAACCUCCCAUUUCUCCCGUCCCCAGGCCGUGGUAAUCCUCCUUCUAUUGUCUGUUUCUAUGAGUUUGACUAUUUUAGAUACCUUAUAUAAUUGAAAUCAUGCAAUAUUUAUCUUUGUGUGCCUGGCUUAUUUUCUUAGCAAAGUGUCCUUCAGGUUCAUGCAUGUUGCUGCAUAUGACAGGAUUUCCUUGUUUUUAAGGUUGAAUAAUAUUCCAUUGUAUGUACAUACAACAUUCUCUUUAUUCAUUCAUCUGUCAAUGGUCAUUUAGGUUGUUUUUACAUUUUGGCUAUUGUGAAUAAUGCUUCAAUAAAUAUGGGGA
rnacentral:lncRNA from 1 species